rnacentral:ncRNA from 1 species
UAUUUCUACUGCAUACAAAUGAAGUUGAUUGCUUGAGAUAUUAUUAGUAUAUGUUGGGGUGCGGGACUAGGCUCACUGAGUAAACUAGUUACUCAUGACUCAUUUGUGAUGCAGGUAACCAAUAGGCGGGAGACCUUACUCUAAGAUGGGAAUGAACAGCAUUAGCCAGCGGUAAUUUUGAUGAAUCUUAUGUAUAAGAUUUGUUGACCGAAAACCUCGAGGUUAAUUUAUAACAAAUUUUGUAAGAUGAUUUUGAAUGAUAUAUAAAUAAUGUUUUUUUUAGGUACGGGUUCCAUAUGAUAUUAGUCUUUGUCCGGAAAAACUAACUAUCAGGUAUUGCUUUCUCGGGUUGAAAAUCCUAGAGUGGUAUCCGAUAGGAGCGUUGGUGUUCUUUGAUUGUUGGUCUAAGGCGAUCGGAAGUAUUCUGAGAACCUCAGAUCGACCGUCGAGGAACAUCGGCCGUGUCAUUUCCGGUCAUCUACGAUCGCGGGUGUCACAUUCAUAGCGCUGUUACUUUUUGAUCCUUCGAUGUCGGCUCUUCCUAUCAUUGUGAAGCAGAAUUCACCAAGUGUUGGAUUGUUCACCCACCAAUAGGGAACGUGAGCUGGGUUUAGACCGUCGUGAUACAGGUUAGUUUUAUCCUACUGAUGCCCGCGUCGCAAUAGUAAUUCAACCUAGUACGAGAGGAACCGUUGAUUUGAACAAUUGGUCAUCUCGCUUGGUUGAAAAGCCAGUGGCGCGAAGCUACCGUGCGCUGGAUUAUCACUGAAUGCCUCUAAGUCAGAAUCCGGGCUAGAAGCAACGCAUGCGCCCGCCUUAAAUACGCGAUGGGGUAUUGUAAGUGGCAGAGUGGCCUUGCUGCCACGUUCCACUGAGAUUCAGCCCUUUGUCGCUAAGAUUCGA